UUAGUGGCGGACGGGUGAGUAACGCGUGGAAAACCUGCCGUAUACUGGGGGAUAACACUUAGAAAUAGGUGCUAAUACCGCAUAAGCGCACAGCUUCGCAUGAAGCGGUGUAAAAAACUCUGGUGGUAUACGAUGGUUCCGCGUCUGAUUAGCUAGUUGGUGGGGUAAUGGCCUACCAAGGCAACGAUCAGUAGCCGGCCUGAGAGGGUGAACGGCCACAUUGGGACUGAGACACGGCCCAAACUCCUACGGAAGGCAGCAG
rnacentral:rRNA from 1 species